GAUGGUGAGGCCUUCCCUGGGGAUCAUCAAAGUCUGUUACAUCAUUUAGGGCAGGGCCUAGGCCCUUCUCCAUGUGUCUAGGCUGAGAGAGUAUCCCUCCAUAGGGGCUAAUACCUUUCCUAUAUCUGUCUUCCUCAGUUUCCAGUCCAGGCCUGAGGACAGUGGAGGCUGGGCCAUGACCCUGUAUUUAUACCCAGAGUGCAAAACACAAGAGUCAGGAGGAGGUAGAGGGGCCCAAUGAACCCUUGAUUUCCAUGGUGCAUACUCUGGAGACAGUCCAUUCGGCAGCAGCAUCUGUGGCUUCUGCUCUCUUGACCUGGGUGUGGUGGAUCCACGGUGUAGAGACUCACCUUGCCGGGUCCUUUUCAGGCUGACUUCAGUGCCCCUUUGGCUCCCUGUCUGACCCAGACAGACUCACUGCACUGGAACAAGGGGAAACUGGUGGGGGACUCCGGGGUCGGCUGUGUCUCUGGGACAGUCCAGUGAAUAACUUUUAUGGAGAACGGGAGUGCCUCUAGUGACUUGAGAACCAUUGGUUAGGGAGUUCUGCCAACUGCUGGUCUCUGAGCCGGGGAAGCAGUGGGGAGAUCUUCCAAACAUAAUCUCAUAGGGGAUAAAUCCCUCACUAUAUGCGGUGCAGCGGACCACAGCAAAGGAAGGAGGCCUAUCCAUCCUUUGCUGGACUCUAAUGGGAGCUUUGUUAGAGUUUCUUUUAAUGCCCUGCUUAUUCUUUUCACCAGGACAGAACUCUGGGGUCUAUAUGCACGAUGAAGUUUUUAAUUUUUGUCUAAAGCUUUGGCUAUUAAUUGAGAGGUUUUGGUUAUGAAAGCUGGGUCAGUGUCUGACUCCAUUGUUAGUAGGAGGCAAAUCAGUGGACCAGUUCCUGGAGGACCUUUUUAUCUACUCUUUGAGCAGUUUCAGUCGAGGUGGGGAACAUUUCUACCUCCCCAUAAGAAGUUUUCUAUAAAAACUAGCAAGUACUUUUAUCUUCCCCCAGCAGGCCAGAACUUGGCGAAGUCAGUUUUCCCAGAGUUUGUGGGCCUGUUGGUCUCUUAUUUGGAUUCCUGCCUGGGUAAGGGCUCUCUGGUUUAGAUUCACUUGAACACAAACCUGGCAUCUGGCUGAGACAUCCCACACUAGGCUGUCCAGUCUAGGUGUAACAUACCUUGGUCUGAGCAACUCAGAAAGUUUUGUGGAGCCCAGAUAAGUAUCCUGAUGAAGGUCAGUUGCCAACAGUUCUGCCAAUUGUUUCUGGGAGAAUAUCUUUCCCACUGGUGUCCUCCAUCAGCCUGUAGGUUUGAGCUGUCCAUUACUUCUUUUCCAUGGUGUGUCAGGCAGCACUGGGGCAUGGUAUGUCAUCAGGAUAGCAAUAGGCCCCACUGGUCUUGGGGCUGUUUGUCUGGCAGUCAGGUGAGCAGCCUGGCAGUGGAGAACAGCAAUUUGUAGGGGAAGCCAACUGGCCUCCAGGAGGGCCAAGAAUUUUUUUUCUUGAGAAGCUGUCUUUCUCUACAGGUCAUACUGUGGACAUGGCCGUUAGUAGAAGCAUACUGACUGACAGUCUGUGUAUAUGUUGGUGGACUUUUCCCCAUCUGAGCCAGGGUCAGAUUGAUCAGUUCUACUUUCUGGGUUGAGGCAACUGACUUGUGCCCAGAUCGUUUCAGUUAAAGUAACUACUACAACUCCCACAUAGCUGGUUCAUCUUUCAUCUCCUGACAGUCAUGGAUAAGCAUCGUCAGGUGAGAGGGAUAAGAUCUUGACCCAACAUUAACUGGUUAGCUUUCUUUCUUUAAACUAGCAGUAACUGCCACAGCUCUUAGAUAGGUAUGCCAUCCUGCGGUUCCAGUGUCCAAAUUCAUAGGGCAUUUUCUUGGCUCCAAAGUUUGGGUUAAAGCCUCUUUUGUCUGGAAAUUCUAGAGCUGGAGUGAAACUCGGAGCUGUUUUAAAAGCCUCAAAUGCCUUUUGUGUAGUCUAGAUUAGGGGCCCAGUGUCCCACUUUGUACUGGUGUAUAGAGGCCUUCCUAUUUCUGCAAACGCUGGUAUCCAGAGACAGCAAUACCUAGUUGAACCUAGGAACUCUGGAACCUGUGUCUUAGGGUUCUGAAAGAUGGCAGCAACCCUACUCUGAGACAGGCUCCUUUUGUCUCCCCUCAGCUGAUAGCCAAGGUAGGUAGCCUCUGAUGGACAAAGUUGGACUUUCUUAGCCAAUGUUCUGUUCUUUAGUCCAGGGUCUUGUAACUCUUGCAGCAGUCCCUCAGUGACCCUUUGUAAUCUAUUUUCCCAGGAAAGCUUUGACAGGAGGGUAGGAAGUCUGCAUUUAAUGUCUUUAAAUACUGAGGCAACCUGGUCCAGGUAUGUUGCCCACUUUAACCUCCCUCUGGGUCUGUCCAUUUAAAAUCAAAGAUGGGUAGACUUGCUUCUGCUAAUGGGAGGUUAAAGAAUCAUCUUUCAGGUCCAAGAUGGUGUACACCUGUUUCUCUGGAGGAAUCAGACUCAUGAGAGUGUUUGGGUUUGGUUCUGUGGUGUGGAUUGUCUUAACCCCCUUUUUACUUCCCACAGAUCUUGGGCAGGUCUGUAACAGGAGAUCCCAGGUUUCUUCACAGGCAAGAGAGGAGAGGUGUAUUCCAGGGUGAGUGGCAGGGCACCAAGACUCCUGCCUCUUCAAACCACACAACAUGGACUGCAGUUUCCCCUUUUGUUUCCAGGAUAAAUGGGUAUUAUUUAAUAUGGACAGAGGUGGGUGAGUUGGUUAGUUAAACAAUUACAGGAGUUUGGUGUUGGACCAGUCCUGGGAUUGAUUUCUGCUCAUAUUCCUGGGAAUAUUUGUUGUUAAUCUGAGAGAUAAUCCAACUGUAUCUUUUGAUUGGUGACAGAACUCUGUUAGGAGAUAUUCUUCCAAUAGAGGGUGAGGCAACAACAUUUUGCCGGGUAUCUGUAGGUCCUACUGUCUCAUCAUCAGAGAAGGUGACAGUGGCUUUCAGUUUAUGCAAAAGGUCUUAUCCUCAUCAGUUCCCUGUUGUUAAACACCCUUUAAGAUACCUCCAGCAACUGGGGCCUACUUAAGACCUUUUUUUUUAACUUUUAUAACUUUUUUCUAAUAUCUGGGACUGGGUAACAAAAGAAAUCUUUUUAGCAGCUGUGUUUAAUCCUUCUAAAAUGAACCUAGUGAAAAUCGCCUAGAGUUCCCUUGGUCAGCAUUGGACAGAAGGAAAAAUCCAUUGUCCAGGCUGUGUUGUCUGGCAGUGAGCCCCCUCUGCCCAGCCCAGCCCAGGGGCGGUUUUUCUACUUUUUUCAGAGAAUGGUGAGUUUUAUGGAUCAUUGCUUUAAAGGGAGUUAUACAUCAUGACAGAGAAAGGAGUGGAACUUUCUCUUUUCCUUUGGACUCUGCCCAGUGGACCUUCCACUUCCCUGGGGCUGCUUAGAUUAGGCCGGAGCAGAGGGAAUGCUCACCUGCUGCAGGAACUCUUGCCCUGUCCCUGUGUGCAUUCCACUUAGAUGGUAGGGGACCCUGAAUGAGAUGACCAGCUCUACCUAACUACACACAGAAACCAAGCCUGACUAAGCAGGAGUCAAGCAAAUAAGCAAGCAGGAGCUCCACUCUAAGUUCCUUCUCCAGCACCGUGUCAUCCUGCAUGUCACCAUUUACUGCCAUGACAAUAAUGGACCUUUGAAACUGUAAGCCAUCCAUGCCCAGCAGUAAGUGGGAAUUCAAAAUAAACUCAAUGGUAUUUUGUGGGGCUUUUGCUGUUUGUUUUGUUUUUGUAUUUGUCUCAUAAUGCUUUGUCUGGCCAAUUUUUUUUUAACUUGCAGAUGUUUUGCUUAUAUCUUACAGUUUCUAGUUUUGUGUUUUAACAGGAUUUCUCUGUGUAUGCAUGUAUGUCUCUGGGUCUGUAUGUAUUUCUUGUGCUUUUGCUUUUGCUCAUUUUUUCUGUUCGUUUUUCCUAUUCGGAUCUAGGAGGAUUUAAAUUUUUUUAAAACUAUGAUUUUAUAAGAUUAUUUAGCUGAUUUAAAUUUUUGGACAAGCAAUAGGUUGGUGUAAGAACCAAUCCUAGUACAUAUUUAGUCUUUUUGAUUGUUUGUGAUGCUCCUUUUUUUCAAAAAAAGAAUCUUUUAAUAAAAUUCCUAAUUUCAAAGAGCAAGAUAUUCCUUAGUACAUUUAUAAAAGAACAUUUGAUCCCUUUACAAAAAUAUCCCAUUUAAUUUAAAUACAUUUUUAUUUACAGAUUAAACAUGAGAUAUCAUCUAUGGUUGCCAAGCAUGUUGCACAUCAAAGAGAAAGGGGUGAGAGGAAAGAGGAGAUGGCACAGAGACAACUGCAUUAAUCCGACCAGUAAAAUAUGGAUUCCCUGACACUCACCUUCACAGGCACUACCCUCACGUGUUUUCCCUUCAACACACAUAAAACUAUUUGAACAUCAUGUGCAGAGGCCAAAAUCCAAGACAAGAAAAGCCCAGAUAUCAUCAUAACUAGAAAUUCAGUUAGAAAAAAUAAGCUCUGGCAGAUCAAAAAGAAACUAAAGGGAAGCUUUGGAAAGCAAACCUGUUUUUCACAACAGCCAAAGCAAUCAGAGCCACCAAGCAUUCCUUUGUCACCUCCUCUUCCAGGAAAAUGGAGUUCCUCUGUCACAGUAUUUACAGCAGCUAAGGCAAGCCUGUUGAUUGUAGGAUAACUAGGCUCCACCACACCUAAUGAUAAGGUAACUUGCUACACUUAGAACAUACUGGUCAAACUGGACACUAGACACUGGCUACUUCUGGGAACACGAGCAUGGUCCAGCUCUACAGAUGUUGCAAACAUCUGUGAAGCUAUAUGUUCAUAUUUCAGGUAUUCCUGGAACAAAGCAGUGAAUUAGAGAAUUUCCACCCUAUGUCAGCAUACAGAAUAGAAGGAACAGAAAACACACUACAAGAUAUACAUCACAGUUGCUGACAUUUUGAUUUUUUAGAAAGCAAGCAAGUCAGCUUUGAAUUUGACUCAAAUGGCAUUCUUUGAAUGACUGGCACUGGUGUUCUUCAUCUGAAUCUGCUUGUGAUACUUUUGACGGUGAUUGCUAUAAUGCUGAAUAGUCUCCCGGCCUUAACAAGUAUCAUACCAACUACUUUCUUACAAAGUUUAAACUCCACAAAGCCUAUAGUUGUUAUAGCUAGAACUGUGACACUCAGGACAAUUUCAAUGCUGUUCUUUUUUUUACAUUUGUCAUCAUUUUCUACCAAUUAUUUUUACAAGUCGUAUUCAUGUACUACCAAAUUAACACAUGAAUGGAUGCAUGAGUGAAUGAAUUAGAGAAAAAAAGAGGUGAGCCAAUAUUUCCAACAAUAAACAACUCAUCACGGCUGAUGAUAUAGCUUGGACCUAAAGCAUGUGCCUUGCAUACUUGAGACCCUAAGAUCAAUUUCCAUCCCUGCAAGGAACAAACAAAAGUAUUGCCAGCCCUCAGAAGGAGAGACUUUGAAGAAGUUCGUUCAUUGGGAAAAUGGUUUAUCAAUUACUUUUGGUGUCUCCUAUCCACCAACAAGUUCCACUGAAUA